rnacentral:lncRNA from 1 species
GCGCUAAUAAAAUGAAAUGUUUUAACAUGCUUAGAAGUUCUUUUACUUUAAAACCUUCUAAGUUAUGUCAUGAAUGAUUGGAUAAACUGCUCUUACGAAUUGUGAAAUGUUUUAAAAGUUGCAGCCCACUAAGUACAUUAGUACUUAGCCCAAAUAUUUUCAAAUGUUUUUCAAGUUGAUGGCUGGUGUUGACGUGGAGAGCUGAGGCUAGGGUUCAACUCCGUGUUUUGACUUCCGCUGUAGUAGUAACCUUUAAUUGUCUUUCGUUUCCUUGACUUAAGACCUUUAUGUUAUGACUCU